CAAGAGGCUCACUCUCCUUUUGGGAGGAAGACGAAUGGGGACCAAGGGACUGCAUGGAAGGAGAGGAAAAAGAGAAAAUAUCCAGGCCCCAUGGUUGAUAGAAAAGACUACCAGAUGAACCACAGAUGGUCAAUGAAAUUGAAGGAAUGACUCAAACAUUUAUCCAAAGGCAUGAUCCAAGAGAUGCAAAGGGGCAGAAGUCUCCAUGAACAGGGCAAAAGACAAGCAAGCUAUGUGUGCCCAUGUGGUGAUCCAGAAGGAAAAGAAAUUGAUAGGAGAUAAUCAAUCUUAGCCUCUUCUUGGUUAUGAACAGUCCCUGGAUCCACCAGUUGAUAGCCAUACAAUGGAAAACUAGCUGAAAUGAAGUGACUAGGAGUCUUUACAAAGUAAAAUAAGUUGGGUGUAAAAUGGAGAAAAGGACAACCAAGUAGAGCCAUUGGGGAGACUCAGGGCCUUCACAAUGUCUGGUACAUGGAAUACGAGAGUACCCAAUUAACAUUUUUUUGAUCCAAGCACAAUAUUUCAUUGGAAAAUAAACAGAUCUUGCUCCUGGCUCUUGCUAGGAGCAGCCUGGAGACCACCUGACGGGAGCUGUCAUCCUUUGUCCUCACCAGCACACCUAUCUAUCUGUCAUCAUCUGGAUCACCAACGUGGAGCAUCUUUGUUCAGGACAGAGAGACAUCUAGCACAGCAACCAGGGUACCUUGAAGAAAAAAGGAAAUUGAAGAUGGUAUGAAAGAAGAUCCUUGUAUUGGAAAAGAAGUUUAAAAAAAGUGGAAGUCAUGAAGCUACAGAAGAACUCGAGAGCAGCUGGGCUUCCCCCAGAGCAUGUCUGGUACAGAUGACAGGCUACAGUCAGCAAAGUAGGGAUCCAACCCCUAUACCUGGAAGGACUUCAGUGAGGAGGUGGAGAAGUGAAGGAGCCCUACUUCCUUACAAAUAUUAAUGGCACUUGGUUUGGAAAUGGUCCAUCAUUCCCAGUCAACGCUCCCCAGGAGGCUGGCUUUCUCUGGUGCUGUCAGGGCUGGCUUCCUUCCGAUUGGGAUCAGCUCUAUUCUGGAAGGGACUGGCAGAGCAUUCAGCUGGCACACUGCUGCUUCCAGACCACACUCUAGUCACCCAAUCAAGUCAUAGCUGCCACAUUGGACGUGCCUCACGCUGAGAACCACCCAUGGAGAGAACAAUGCCCAGGUGGGGUACCUGUGAGGUCCCUGGCUGUGGCUCACAGUCUGUGCAGCUGAUACCCAACAUCAUCUUCAAGUGACACUUACCAGUGAAACGGUCACAUGCCACCACAGGGCCAGAAUCGCCCUCAGAGUUGACCCUGUCUUGCAUUCCUCCUGUGUCUGGUGUUGGCCAGGACAAAAGUGUUGGAAUACCAUGACACCCUCUUCUAGCGGGGUGCCUGCUAAACCAGAUAUCCACUCAGCUACGGUAGAAAACAGAGUUCUCAUUUCUCUUACACUUGAACUUGGCAGCAAUUGAAAACACUCUAAUUAUAUCUCUGUGCAAUUAGAUGUCCUGUGUGAUUGGUGGGACCUUAGGAAUGUGACUGUUGGCCUUAGGAGGGUAAAGUUGCUGGAAGAGCUCAACCCACCAUUUAGAAACCCUGGGUUCAGUGCUCCUAGACCCAGCACACAAAAACAAAAUAUUGAAAUUGGCAGGGACCUUGGUGAUUAAUAGCUCUCCUCUUAUCUAUAGAAAAUAUUUUAAGAAGGAAAAAUGACCUGAACCAAUGUUAAUGAUUGUACUAUAGUAAAGAAUUUGGGAGUCACCUGGGUCUUUUUUAGCUCUGUGUUGUACUGUGCUGUUUGACUUAGGGAAAACAACAACAAAAAGUUCCUAGCAUGCCCAUCGAAGUUCUCUGGGCCUCUGUCUGGGUUAUUCUUGCUAUCUUAUGUAGUAGGCAUUUUUUUUUUUUUUUUCUCUUUUCACAGACAAGGAAAAGGAGACUGGUAGGAUAAAUCCGUUUAGCUAGUAAAUGGCAAUACU